rnacentral:rRNA from 1 species
AUUGAACGCUGGCGGCAUGCCUUACACAUGCAAGUCGAACGGGGUUGAGGGGCUUGCUCUUCAAUCUAGUGGCGAACGGGUGAGUAAAGCAUCGGAACGUACCCGGGAGUGGGGGAUGACGUAGCGAAAGUUACGCUAAUACCGCAUAUUCUGUGAGCAGGAAAGCAGGGGACCGCAAGGCCUUGUGCUUCUGGAGCGGCCGAUGUCGGAUUAGCUAGUUGGUGAGGUAAAGGCUCACCAAGGCGACGAUCUGUAGCUGGUCUGAGAGGAUGAUCAGCCACACUGGGACUGAGACACGGCCCAGACUCCUACGGGAGGCAGCAGUGGGGAAUUUUGGACAAUGGGGGCAACCCUGAUCCAGCCAUGCCGCGUGAGUGAAGAAGGCCUUCGGGUUGUAAAGCUCUUUCGCGAGGGAAGAAAACGCACUCUCUAAUACAGGGUGUGGAUGACGGUACCUUGAUAAGAAGCACCGGCUAACUACGUGCCAGCCGCCGCGGUAAUAC